rnacentral:rRNA from 1 species
UUGACCUCAAAUCGGGUGAGACUACCCGCUGAACUUAAGCAUAUCAAUAAGCGGAGGAAAAGAAACUAACAAGGAUUCCCCUAGUAACUGCGAGUGAAGCGGGAAAAGCUCAAAUUUAAAAUCUGGCGGUCUUUGGCCGUCCGAGUUGUAAUUUAGAGAAGCGUCUUCCGCGCCGGACCGUGCACAAGUCUCCUGGAAUGGAGCGUCAUAGAGGGUGAGAAUACCGUCUUUGGCACGGAUGCCCGGUGCUUCUGUGAUGCGCUCUCGAAGAGUCGAGU